UUGGGUUAAGUCCCGCAACGAGCGCAACCCUCGUCUUUAGUUGCCNGCAUUAAGUUGGGCACUCUGGAGAGACUGCCGGUGACAAACCGGAGGAAGGUGGGGAUGACGUCAAGUCAGCAUGCCCCUUACGUCUUGGGCUACACACGUACUACAAUGCUUCGGACAAAGGGUUGCAAGCGUGCGAACGCAAGCUAAUCCCAUAAACCGAGGCUCAGUUCAGAUUGCAGGCAUGCAACUCGCCUGCAUGAAGGCGGAAUCGCUAGUAAUCGCAGGUCAGCAUACUGCGGUGAAUACGUUCCCGGGCCUUGUACACACCGCCCGUCACACCAUGGGAGUUGGCCACGCCCGAAGUCGUUACUCCAACCGUUCGCGGAGGAGGAUGCCNAAGGCAGGGCUGAUGACUGGNGUGAAGU
rnacentral:rRNA from 1 species